ensembl:snRNA U6 U6 spliceosomal RNA
GUGCUCGCUUCAGCAGCAUAUAUACAAAAAUUGGAAUGAUAUAGAGAUUAGUAUGACCCUGUGCAAGGAUGACAUAUAAAUGACUUAGGAAUGUCCUAAUGGA